rnacentral:rRNA from 1 species
AGGGUUCGAUUCUGGCUCAGAACGAACGCUGGCGGCAUGCCUUAUACAUGCAAGUCGAACGAGAAAGUCACUUCGGUGGCGAGUACAGUGGCGCACGGGUGAGUAACGCGUAGAUGAUCUACCCUUCAGUCUGGGACAACUCUUGGAAACGGGAGCUAAUACCGGAUAAAACCUUCGGGUUGAAAGAUUUAUCGCUGGGGGAUGAGUCUGCGUACCAUUAGCUUGUUGGUGGGGUAACGGCCUACCAAGGCGACGAUGGUUAGCGGGUCUGAGAGGACGAUCCGCCACACUGGAACUGAGACACGGUCCAGACUCCUACGGGAGGCAGCAGUAGGGAAUAUUGCGCAAUGGGGGCAACCCUGACGCAGCAAUGCCGCGUGAGUGAAGAAGGCCUUCGGGUCGUAAAGCUCUUUUAUGGGGGAAGAUGAUGACGGUACCCCAUGAAUAAGCACCGGCUAACUACGUGCCAGCCGCCGCGGUAAUA